CUCACAUAUUCACACACACAACACCUAAAACACACACUACACACGCCAUUUUCCAUUUAAGCUUGGACGGAGCUUUUGACCUCCGAUUUGAGCACCGAGACGAGCACCGAUCAUCUUUUCGAUCACGUAUCUAAGUAGGUCCUUUUGGGAAGUAACGACUUGAGGGAGAGAGUGACGUUACUCAUUGAUACAGAGACACAACGAGGUUGAGCUGAUGUGAUGAUGGUGCUGCAAUGAGCGGAGUCUCCAGGGUUGUUAAUAAAUAGUUAACAUGUCUAGAAUAUGUCUUCAUACGUAUGUCUAGCUACUUUCCGCUGCAAGAUGUUGUUGAUGUUAUAGUAUGUUAUGUCA